rnacentral:lncRNA from 1 species
GUCAUGCAAAGAGUGGGUCAACAGCUUUCCAAGGCAGAGGGAAUCAGGAAAGCGAUGGGCUUGUCUGAGGAACAGAAAGGACAACGAACGUGUCCUUUUGGCUUUUGGGAGGCGGAGACUGAGACUGGAGUCCAGAGGACCAAGGAGGACGAGGUAACUGCCGUGGUCCAGGGAGGAAUUGCAGCAUGGGGUAGGUUUCCUCAGAGACCCGGGUAAUUGCGGCUGAGCUGUCCGAGGUGCUGACGGCUGGGCGAGAGGAGCGGUUGAAUGUAUGCACAACGCCCAGAGGAAACUCAUCUAUUCCCAUGACUUACAAGAUCAUCCAUAGA